GGGGGGAGCGAGCGUGUACAGGAGGAGGAGGAAUGAGGGAGAGAGAGGGAGAGAGAGAGUGCAAACAAUGUCAUUCUGUUCAGGAGGCAAUGCUGCAGUCAACUUUGCCGCGCCAUGAAAGCACAUCACCAGCAAGCAAAAGGGCUCAGAGUGAGUGCAGAGAAGUUUUCCUCCUCUCCUCCCCGUGUGUGAUGCGGCACGAGACUCCCCUGAGCAGGCUCAUACACCCGUCCGGCUGCUGGUGGCGUGUUGGAACAUGCCUUGACUUGUUGUGCUGCCUGAGUGAAGCAAGGAGAGAGAGACAGCCACAAACACACAGAGAGAGAGAGAAGGAAGAGGCUGCUGGUCAACAGUCUUCCUGGUGUGAAGUCACCCACAGCUCUGCAGCACCCGUGGACGGUGUACUCGUUGGAGAUGAGGAGAGUGGAGAGAGGAGCUGCCCAGCCAGCUUGAGCUUACGGCUGUUGGCAAGGCCCCAUGCCACCCUUUUGGCGCAUUUUAGCACAAGGCCACUUCCAACAACCACCAUCAACACCAAAGCCGGGCAUGAGAAGUGUGAACGUCACAGGUGGAAAGACCGGUGGGGGAUUCUGCUGGGGCGGACAGACGGACAAAUGAGCGGACGGACGCAGGCUGCUGUGGGUGUUUCUUUGGCAGUGUCUUAGCUGGUUGUUGUGAGGAGUGAGAACGAAGCAAUCAGCAAGUAUACUGCCGCAGAAAUUCUUCGCAAUAAGAGGCCCUGGGUGUCACGAUGGGGAAAAAACAAAGAGGGAGGACAUAUGCACUGACACUUUAACAAACGGCCACACGGAUCCUGCUGCUGCUGCUACUGUAAGUUUUUACCUGACACAGAGUGACUGAGAGCAUGUUUGUUAACAGCUUCUACAGUGUUUACAAUUGGAUCCAAGCAUCACACUUCAACACUGUGUGCUGUGCUCUCAUGAUCCUCUGCUGCCAUCUUGUGACUGAAAGCAACCUCCCAGCAUGCUGUCCUUCAUCAAACACUGCACCAGUUCCAAAAAACCCACAUUGUGUUCCUUUGUUUUCAUUCAGACUCUGUUAAAUCCCUUUUCAUUCAGAAAUUACAGCUUGGCUUACACUGAUUCAGUCCCCCCUGUUUUUUUUUGUUUUUGUUUUGGUUUUUUUUUGCAUUUUAGUUGCAAAUGCAUGAUUUGCUUUGGGAGUUUUUUUUCUGGAUGCUAACGUGAAAAAUGGACUCCUAAUUUAUCAGUCAUGGUCUGAUCAUUUCGUCAUGUAAAAGAGGAGGUAAAUAAAGGUUCCAUAAAAGAUUGAUUUAUCAAUUUGCCUUGUUUGUUUUCACAUUAUAAAUGCAUUUUGUAAUAAUGGAAGACAUGUGUUGUAUAAUCCACUUUGCACUGUGUAAAAGCACUUUGAAACCCUUCAAAUAACGCCGUUGCCAUGCGAACUCAGGAGACCUAAUGAGUGCAGAUGGACCAGGUGCACAUUAAUUUAAUGUUUCAUAGGCACACAGCACACACACACACUGUGGUGUUUUUAUCUUUUUGUCUGUACAAUCAUCACACAGUGUUUUAAGUUGAUUAAUUGUUAACACCUGAUAGAAGAGUCUGCACAUUUUCACACUGAGUGUGUUUUCUGAUGAUAAUGCAGAUGCUGUGUUUGCUGCAGUCUGCAGGAAAAACAGCACUGCACUGCACUGCACUGCUGCAAACAUAAAAAAGGAGGUUGUUUUUUUUUCGUGGGCUGCAGCAAUGCAGAAGCUGUAAAGUCCUGGUGCCUCACAAGGUCAACCCUUUAUUAGCGUUAAAACCUUUUUAAACAUUAACUCUUUGGUAAACAAUGCUUACAGGGCCACCACAAAAUUAACAGCUGCUGGACACAAAGCAGGGCAACUACUGCUCAUUACUCACAAAUGUCACUGCUGUAUUCAUUGCACUGAUAACCUGCGAGGCAGCGAAGAGGCAAAAGGUGACCAUCAGUGGAACACUUUAGUUAAAACUGUGUAAUGAUUUCAUUUUUUUUAAAUAGCUCAUCAGAAUGCUGAGACAGUCCCUGUUUGCUGCUGGAUGAGUAAUCCACUGCAUCACCGUGCAUCUCUGUAAUAUACUGAGAAUAUAUCAGGGUUCAAUGCUGACAUGAUUUGUUGAAUAACUGUUAUAUAGCAACAUUACUGCUGAGUGAUUGACAAUUAUUCCAAUCAUUUAACAAACCAAACCAACGGUGGCUGAGAGAGAUCAAAACACUGCAGCUUAAGGAAACACAUGCAAACACACCACCGAAUAUUUAACACAAGCAAAUACUGAACAAAACCGUAAAGCUUAUAUAACUUCAGUUAUUUAGGCCUAAAGCAUUAAGAACAGCCAGGUCCGUCACUCUGUGGGGCCUCCUGGAAACAUCUUCCAUUUCUCUGUCACUGGUGAAAAAGGCCAUUUUAUUAAGUAAGUAAGAGGAAAAUUCACAUGAGCUUUAAGCUCAAGGGGGGAAAUAUGCAAUAAUUUGGCAGCCUUUCUUCUUUCUAUUAGGCUAUUUAUAAUUAUAUAUUGUUAUAUAUUAUUUGUUGUGACUCUAUAAAUUCUAUUUAUCCCAUCACAGUAACAUUGUGUGUGGCAUUUUCCAAAAAAAAGCUGCACCCAUUGAAAGUAAUGUGGCUUACUGUUAUCAGCCCAUGUGAUUUUUGUUUUUCAAAAUAAAAUAAUCUGAAUCAUGUUAAGUCAAAAAGCUUAAAAGUGUAAUUAAUGUGUUUUCACGUUACUAAUAUUACAUACACAUACAGGUGAAGUGUACUGCCGCGCCUGAACUGUGUCUGAAGGGGCAAAGAACGUUUCGACAUGCCGUCAUGUGUGCUUGUGACAAACUCCGGUGCCAUAGCUGCACCAGGGUCACACAGGCAGAAACAAUCACAGCCAAAAAUACAGCUGACUUCCUCUUUGGGUUCCGGUUGGUGCAACGAGGAGUCGGAGGAGCGCAGGCGGAGGGGAGGGCUCAAACUCUGGCACAAACUUGUGUUUGGUUCCCCUGAAGUUUGUGAAGUCACGCGUCUCGGCAGGAGUGUGCGUAAUACGCGUAGCGUUGGUUUAAGUGACCAUAUUGUUUUGCGCCGUAAAGGAGAGGCCGCCCGCAUGAAGAGUGUUUGCUGGCUGUCGUGACGGUGAG
ensembl:lncRNA